rnacentral:rRNA from 1 species
CACCCCUAUCCUUAGUUGCUAGCAGGUAAUGCUGAGAACUCUANCCCNUNCUGCCGGUAAUAAACCGGAGGAAGGUGGGGACGACGUCNAGUCAUCAUGGCCCUUACGUGUAGGGCUACACACGUGCUACAAUGGCGCAUACAGAGUGCUGCGAACCUGCGAAGGUAAGCGAAUCACUUAAAGUGCGUCGUAGUCCGGAUUGGAGUCUGCAACUCGACUCCAUGAAGUCGGAAUCGCUAGUAAUCGCGUAUCAGAAUGACGCGGUGAAUACGUUCCCGGGCCUUGUACACACCGCCCGUCACACCAUGGGAGUGGGUUGCUCCAGAAGUAGAUAGUCUAACCCUCGGGAGGACGUUUACCACGGAGUGAUUCAUGACUGGGGUGAAGUCGUAACAAGGUAGCCCUAGGGGAACCUGGGGCUGGAUCACCUCCUU